UACCCGCAGCACAAGUGGUGGCCAUUAUUAUUGGGCCUAAAGCGUCCGUAGCUGGCUUGUUAGAUGCCUGGGUAAAUCGAUGCGCUCAACGCAUCGAAUUCCGGGUAGACCGGCAAGCUUGGGACCGGGAGAGGCAUGGGCUACUCGCGGGGUAGGGGUAAAAUCCUGUAAUCCUGCGGGGAGGACCAGUGGCGAAGGCGCCAUGCUAGAACGGCUCUGACAGUGAGGGACGAAGCCCUGGGGCGCAAACCGG
rnacentral:rRNA from 1 species